UACAGGGGGGGGCAAGCGUUGUUCGGAAUUACUGGGCGUAAAGGGUUCGUAGGUGGCCACCUAAGUCAGACGUGAAAUCCCUCAGCUUAACUGGGGAACUGCGUCUGAUACUGGGUGGCUUGAGUGCAGGAGAGGAAUGCGGAAUUCCAGGUGUAGCGGUGAAAUGCGUAGAUAUCUGGAGGAACACCGGUGGCGAAGGCGGCAUUCUGGGCAUUUCCUGACGCUGAGACGCGAAAGCGUGGGGAGCGAACCGG
rnacentral:rRNA from 1 species